UGGGGAAUAUUGCACAAUGGGGCGAAAGCCUGAUGCAGCGACGCCGCGUGAGCGGAGAAGUAUUUCGGUAUGUAAAGCUCUAUCAGCAGGGAAGAAGAAUGACGGUACCUGACUAAGAAGCCCCGGCUAACUACGUGCCAGCAGCCGCGGUAAUACGUAGGGGGGCAAGCGUUAUCCGGAUUUACUGGGUGUAAAGGGAGCGCAGGCGGUACGGCAAGUCUGAUGUGAAAGCCCGGGGCUCAACCCCGGGACUGCAUUGGAAACUGUCGGACUAGAGUGUCGGAGGGGUAAGUGGAAUUCCUAGUGUAGCGGUGAAAUGCGUAGAUAUUAGGAGGAACACCAGUGGCGAAGGCGGCUUACUGGACGAUCACUGACGCUGAGGCUCGAAAACGUGGGGAGC
rnacentral:rRNA from 1 species